rnacentral:misc_RNA from 1 species
CCACCGUGGCUUUGAAAACGCUUUCCUUGAUAAAAUUUAAGCGUUUUAUAAGAGGAUGCCGGGGAAGGUUUUCCGGUUUAUCCCGGAGGGCUUGUAGCUCAGUUGGUUAGAGCGCGCGCUUGAUAAGCGUGAGGUCGGAGGUUCAAGUCCUCCCAGGCCCACCAGUUUAUCCAUUACUUUCAUAAGUGCUUUUAAAAAAUAAGUACUUCUAAAAAGAUUGCUUCUAAAAAGAUUGCUUCUAAAAAGAUUGCUUCUAAAAAGCUUAUCAAAAUUGGCAGGCUUAUUGCUUUUGUGUGAGUAAUCCAAAGUUAAAGCAAAUUAAUGGCAAAAAAACAGUUCAAAUGCUAAAUACUAAGGAGUCAAAAUUCCUUGCAAAGUGAUUUUUACAGCGUCCAUUUGGUUGAUAUAAAUUCCAAAUGCUCAUAGACGUCAAUGCCUAUAUGAAACUAUCGGUUCAAUCAUAUCGCUUUGAGUUAUAUAGAUUUUGUAAUCCCUCUUUUGAUCGUUUUAAACGCUUUAUCCUGAUUUAGGGGCCGUAGCUCAGCUGGGAGAGCACCUGCUUUGCAAGCAGGGGGUCGUCGGUUC